AAGUCAUGGUGGCUGCAGUCUAAGCAAAGAUUCCCAGACCUCCCUCUCCCCAGCCACCUCGUCUAGUGAGGGAUUCCCAAGCCAGAAAAGAUACAUAAUCUUUACAGUGUGUCCUGCUUCUACCCUGGGGCCUCCUCCUGAGACAUGCUCUACUUCAGGUUUUCCAAGUAAAACAAAGAAGUGUACCCAGCAUUUCCACACACACAAUUGUAAAGUUUGCAAAAUCAUGCUCAAAACAAAGUCUUGAACCCUAAUUGACCUGCCGGAUGGACGUGCAUCAACCAAGUUGUGCUGGCUGUACCUUCUUCCCAGGAUAACCUCCUUGAGAACUCCAUGGGAAUCAGCCGUGCCCAACCACCUGGUUGUCCCAGUCUGACAUGUGGCUAAACUGUGCUCAGACUUAAUACUAAACAAGCGAAGUAACUGAGAUACGCCAAGAUACAGGCACUGUGGAGGACUCAUCUUUGCUGAAAUCCAGAGGAGAAAAAGGACAAUUGAACUGGUGUUCUCUCAAAACGAGCUAGGCUUUGGUUAGCUCUGCAUCGGCUUCCAGCAAGACUCCUUUAAAGUCAUAUGCUUUUUUUUUUUUGCUUUUUUUUCUUCCUCUCCACAGAACCCUUUUAAACUACAUGCCUGUGAAGACUGAUACUCAGUAAGAAAGAGCUAAAUGGAAAUGAAAACAACAGGCCUUUGGAAAUAGUAAACCCCAUGUACAAGAGUGAAAUAAUGGCAUAAAGCAGUGAGAUUGAUAAUGCAAA